GGGCUAGUGGUCUAGUGGUAGGAUACCCGCUUAGGGUCUUGUGAAGACUUAUCUGCGGGUGGUCCCAGGUUCAAUCCCUGGCUAGCCCC